GCCAGGCUGUGGGUCCUAGCUCAUCCUGACUGCUGGUGUGGGCGGGCUCUUCCUCAUGCAGGAACAGGCCCUGCACCCUGAAGGCCACAAGGGAGAGGGAGAGGGGUCCUGGAGGGCUGGGGGCUGCAGGCGUGGCCCCGCCUCUCCCAGGGCAUUGCCCUAGCUCCCUCUGGCCCCUAAGGUCACUGCCAGGACCCUCGCCCAUGAGCCACCCCACCCCCACCAGCUUCCUGUUUCUUCGAGGUGGCCCGCAAUACUCGGAUACUUCAUCAGCUCUUUUUAUUAAAGUUUUUUGUUGUUUUUGUGUUUUUGAGACAGGGUCUCCCUGUGUCCUUCCGGCUGGUCUUGAACUUGGGCAAUCCUCCUGCCUCACUGCCCAAGUGCUGAGAUCUCAGGUGUGUGCCAGCACCCCUGACCGCAUCAGCGUCUGCGGAGCUUGUGUCCAUCUGCCUCAGCCUCUCCUUUCAGUCAAAAAGACCACUUUAAAUUUUCCCAAGUUAAAAAAGAAUUACGGCUGAGAUUAAUUCAUCUACUUUCCUAAAGUGAAGAAGCAGAUGUAAUCAGGGUUUUGUAAUUGCCUUUUUUCCCAUCAUGCAGGUGGUCAGCUUUCCUGAAGCCAAAGAAAUUUGGCAAAAGCUUGUUAUGCAGGUAACAAGAAAAGCUCGGGUGGCUCUGCAGUCACCAGGCACCGAGGCCUCAUCGGUACCUGUGAGAGCCCGGGGCCGGCUGCCCUGCACCUCGAGGAUGCACCUGGUGGCCUCAUGGUGCUUGGUCCUCUCCCGAGGUCACUUGAUCUUUGCCUUCUGAACAGCAGCCCUCAGAAGGCAGUGCAGACCCUUCUGGGUCAUCCUGAGGGUACCCACAUGGAAGCUGCGAGUCCCGGGGACCGUGCAUGGGAUCUGCAGCUGCAGGCCGAGCCAGGGCAGGCAGAGUCCUGCAGGGAGAAGCCAUGGCUGCAGACUUCCCCUGGGUGGCCAGAACUGUUGGAGAUGAAAUAAUAUUAAAGUGAACCAGACCCAGACCACUCAGUGUAUUAAAGGAACCAGAUUGUGUUUUUCUCUUUUUUCACACUGUCUCCUAGUUGGAAGAGAAAGACAGCCAAGAGCCCUGUGUAUUAGUUAAGAUUUCAGCUGUAAGUCACAGAUGACUGACUUAGCAACUGAAGGAAUUUAAGGAAUGCUUUGGGACUCCAGAUGGCAGAGCCAGUCAUCUAUGAUGUAUUGAAAGAGAAAGUCCUCUCACCUUUCUAUUCUGACAAUUCUGUUGGCUUUGGUUCUGAGACAUGACCUUCAUGGUCACAAAGUGGCUGCAUUAGCACCAAACAUCUCAUCUUGAGAUGGCUUUUCCCCCAGACAAGCAGAGUGAGUAGUUUUGUGCCUCCUUUCUAGUUAUAAAAUCUUCUCCAAGAUUCUCCCAGCAACUGUCCCUCAGGGUCGAGCCCUAGUUCUUGCGGUAGCAUGCCCACUGCUUUAGAACACCUGUGCUGACCACUGCCAAGGUUGAACUAAUCAAGAUGUGUUAGUGCAAGCUUCUCUGUAUUUCUCAGCCAACAGAUGUGUGAACCAAGUAGGCCAUGGUUCUGUCAGUAAAGAGGAAAGGGUGGGAACAGGUCUGGUCCGAAGCGUCUGCCAACUUCUGGUGAGAUUUGGGCGAAGUAAAUUUUGUGGCAUCUGCUUUGGCGUGUUCUGUCCCUCGCCGUCCUGGAACUCUGGACUGAGGAGGGACACUUGGCGCUGGCUCCCAGCAGCCCGAGGAGCCACCCUGUGGACCCUCAGGGCAGCGAGGCACGCUGGCCUUCAGUGCUCCCCACAGGUGGCCCUGGCUGUGUUUGGAAGCAUCGUCAUAGAAACCAGAACAAAUCACUGGCUGAUUACGCUCCAGUUCUCGUUAAUCAUUCCUUCACUGGGUCAGCCAGGAUUUCAUGCCCAGGCCGAGCCUCUCUUUUCCCUAGGGCCCUCGCAGAGCCCGGAAAGAGAAAAGGAGGGGCAAGAGGCAAGCUCAGCCUGCAGACCCGGAGAUCCGGGCCCAGAGGUGGGCGGGGCCUGGGGUACCUUCCUGCACCUGAGUCUAGUGCAUCCUGUGCUGGGCUCUGCGUCAGGCACUUCCGGUGAUCGCAGCCCCCCCCACUCCGAGGGAGGCAGCAGGGAGGCACACAGCACAGAGCUGGGGUGCGCAGUCCCAGGGGGCUGGAAGGCCCACCCAGCGGAUCCCGGAGCUGAUCAAGGCCGGCUCCUCCUGGGAGGGGUUGGAGCCGCACUGGGGCAGCCCCAUGCCUUCUGCUGUGGCCAGGACUGGCACCCUAAGAAGCAGUAAAGCGGGCAGGCUCUCGCCUCCCUGAACCUCCUCUCCCGGGCAGUGCAGGUGGUGACCGGGACUGGAGCAGCACCCGCGGCUUCUGUGCGAAACAGGGUGAGCAGUCUGAGGGCAAGAUCCCAAGGCUGAGGAGGCCAUGGAAACCCAGCUUGCUGUGGAGGAAGAGAGAAGCCAAUCAACAUUGCCUGGUCCCCAGAUCUGUUGGGGCCAGUCUCUGAGGACAAGACACAGGACAUUUCUGCGAGGGUUCAGUCAGACGAUGAGGAUGUGAAAAUGAUGGGAAUCAGCCCAGGCCCAGGUCCAGACAGUUGCAUAAGAAGGUGUGGUGUGGUUCUUGUCUGUUUCUGCACACCCUGGAGGGUGUGGGACCCCGCUCCGUGGCAUAAUCAGAACAGAAAGAAGUCUCCCUCCCCUGCUGACCAGUGCCCAACAGACAGCAAAGGCCGCUGCAAGCCUGCUCCUCCCUGCAGGCUGCGGUGUGGGGAGAGCAUGCAGAUGCAUUCUUUAUGCUUUAAUUUAGCACCUUGCUCGCCCGCCUUGCCUUCCUCAGCACAUUAGGCUGCCUCCUCUGACCCACCUGACUAGGAAGUCAUCAUUCUUUCUUUGAGCAUUAUUUUCAUAAAAAAGAAAACAAAAACAAUACAAAAGGCCAUUCCAGACAAGCAAUUCCCUUGUUUAUUGAUUUGCCCUGUCAGGUUCUUUUAUGCAGACAUAAGUUUUAUGAUAAAACUUCAGCCUUGCCUUUUAUGACAAUAAAUAAUGCAUUGUGCUUCUUGAGUGCUCAUGUUGUGUGGGACCCAUGCUGGCUCCUGGCCUCGUAGUUCCAGGCAGGUCCUGUCUGUCCAAGUCACAUACUUCCAAAGUUACUAUCAGUUUCCUCCCCCUGAAGGUGGUAUCAAGAUG